GAGUUUGAUCCUGGCUCAGAUUGAACGCUGGCGGCAGGCCUAACACAUGCAAGUCGAACGGUAACAGGACGCUAGGAUCCCUUCGGGGUGACUUUGUCGCUGAAUAGCGGCGGACGGGUGAGUAACGCGUAGGAAUCUACCUGGUAGUGGGGGACAACAUGGGGAAACUCAUGCUAAUACCGCAUACGACCUACGGGGGAAAGCGGGGGACCUUCGGGCCUCACGCUAUUGGAGGAGCCUGCGUUAGAUUAGCUAGUUGGUAGGGUAAAGGCCUACCAAGGCGACGAUCUAUAGCUGGUCUGAGAGGAUGAUCAGCCACACUGGAACUGAGACACGGUCCAGACUCCUACGGGAGGCAGCAGUGGGGAAUAUUGCACAAUGGGGGAAACCCUGAUGCAGCCAUGCCGCGUGUGUGAAGAAGGCCUUCGGGUUGUAAAGCACUUUAAGCAGUGAGGAAAAGUGUACAGUUAAUACCUGUAUGCCGUGACGUUACCUACAGAAGAAGCACCGGCUAACUCCGUGCCAGCAGCCGCGGUAAUACGGAGGGUGCAGGCGUUAAUCGGAAUUACUGGGCGUAAAGCGCGCGUAGGCGGUUUGUUAAGUCGGAUGUGAAAGCCCCGGGCUCAACCUACGCAAUAAGUAGACCGCCUGGGGAGUACGGCCGCAAGGUUAAAACUCAAAUGAAUUGACGGGGGCCCGCACAAGCGGUGGAGCAUGUGGUUUAAUUCGAUGCAACGCGAAGAACCUUACCUGGUCUUGACAUCCUACGAACUUUCCAGAGAUGGAUUGGUGCCUUCGGGAACGUAGUGACAGGUGCUGCAUGGCUGUCGUCAGCUCGUGUUGUGAAAUGUUGGGUUAAGUCCCGUAACGAGCGCAACCCUUAUCCAUAUUUGCCCACGUAAUGGUGGGGACUCAUGGGAGACUGCCGGGGACAACUCGGAGGAAGGCGAGGACGAUGUCAAGUCAUCAUGCCCCUUAUAUCCAGGGCUGCACGCAUGCUACAAUGGGCGGUACAGUGGGCCGCGAUCUCGCAAGAGUGAGCCAAUCCCUCAAAGCCGUCCCCAGUUCGGAUUGAAGUCUGCAACUCGACUUCAUGAAGCCGGAGUCGCUAGUAAUCGUGGAUCAGCUAUGCCACGGUGAAUACGUUCUCGGGGCUUGUACACACCGCCCGUCACAUCACGGAAGUCGGUAACACCCGAAGUCAGUGGCCUAACCCCUCGGGGAAGGAGCUGCCUAAGGUGGGAUUGGUAACUGGGAUGAAGUCGUAACAAGGUAGCCGUACGGGAACGUGCGGCUGGAUCACCUCCUUU
rnacentral:rRNA from 1 species